UACGAAGGGGGCUAGCGUUGUUCGGAAUCACUGGGCGUAAAGCGUAUGUAGGCGGAUCGUUAAGUCGGGGGUGAAAUCCCGAGGCUCAACCUCGGAACUGCCUUCGAUACUGGCGAUCUUCGAGUCCGGGAGAGGUGAGUGGAACUCCGAGUGUAGAGGUGAAAUUCGUAGAUAUUCGGAAGAACACCAGUGGCGAAGGCGACUCACUGGCCCGUUACUGACGCUGAGGCGCGAAAGCCAGGGGAGCGAACGGG
rnacentral:rRNA from 1 species